GGAAUUGUAGCUCAGUGGUAGAGCACUUGUCUACCACAUGUGAAGCACUGGGUUCAAACCUCAGCAUCA
rnacentral:tRNA from 1 species